UCGCCUCUUGCAACAAUCAAGUAUAUAGAGGUCCGCCUGCCCAGUGACUAAUUUCAACGGCCGCGGUAUCAUGACCGUGCAAAGGUAGCGUAAUCACUUGUCUUUUAAAUAAAGACCUGUAUGAAAGGCAAAACGAAAGUUCAACUGUCUCUUUAAUCCAAUCAAUAAAAUUUAUCUUUCCGUGCAGAAGCGGAAAUAGACAUAUAAGACGAGAAGACCCUAUGGAGCUUUAAACACACUAUUAACUACUACAAUAUUUUAAACCAACAGGCAAAAAAUCAUAAACCACAUAGUCAUAAUAUAAGUUUUAGGUUGGGGCGACCACGGAAGAAAAAAAAUCCUCCGAGAUAAACAAUUUAGAAUAACACUUCAAAAAUUAAAACAUUUAUUAUAAAUGAUCCACUAAGUGACCAACGAACCAAGUUACCCUAGGGAUAACAGCGCAAUCCUUUCUAAGAGUCCAUAUCGACGAAUGGGUUUACGACCUCGAUGUUGGAUCAGGACACCCAAAUGGUGCAGCCGCUAUUAAAGGUUCGUUUGUUCAACGAUUAAAGUCCUAC
rnacentral:rRNA from 1 species